GUAACGAAGGGGAGGCUAGCGUUGUUCGGAUUUACUGGGCGUAAAGCGCACGUAGGCGGUUUGUUAAGUCAGAGGUGAAAUCCCGGAGCUCAACUCCGGAACUGCCUUUGAUACUGGCAAGCUAGAGUCCGGAAGAGGUAAGUGGAACUCCUAGUGUAGAGGUGGAAUUCGUAGAUAUUAGGAAGAACACCAGUGGCGAAGGCGGCUUACUGGUCCGGAACUGACGCUGGAGGUGCGAAAGCGUGGGGAGCAAACAGG
rnacentral:rRNA from 1 species